rnacentral:rRNA from 1 species
CACAGGUGCUGCAUGGCUGUCGUCAGCUCGUGUCGUGAGAUGUUGGGUUAAGUCCCGCAACGAGCGCAACCCUUGUCAUUAGUUGCUACAUUCAGUUGGGCACUCUAAUGAGACUGCCGGUGACAAGCCGGAGGAAGGUGGGGAUGACGUCAAGUCCUCAUGGCCCUUAUAGGUGGGGCUACACACGUCAUACAAUGGCUGGUACAAAGGGUUGCCAACCCGCGAGGGGGAGCCAAUCCCAUAAAGCCAGUCGUAGUCCGGAUCGUAGUCUGCAACUCGACUACGUGAAGUCGGAAUCGCUAGUAAUCGUGGAUCAGAAUGUCACGGUGAAUACGUUCCCGGGUCUU